UAGCUCUGAGGCUUAUCCAACUGAUGUGGUUUUGGGAGAUCCGUGAGGUAGAUGAUGCUGGAGAACUAUUUUUGGAGACAGGCAUGGCCUCUGAGCUGAGUUUGAACACGCUGCCAUUUCAUGGUAAAACGUGAACAGAUGAGGACGUGCUCCCAAUGGAUGAACGAAGAAAGUGGUUUCCUGAGAUGGAAGCUUCUCCUGGUGAAGAUGCCAUGAAGACUGUUGGAAUGACAACGAAGGAUUUAGAAUAUGACAUAAACUUAGUCCAUCGAGCAGCGGCAGGGUUUGAGAGGAUUGACUCCAAUUCUGAAAGAAGUUCGACUAUGGGUAAAAUGCUAUCAAACAGCAUCACAAGCUACAGGGAAAUUACUAGUGAAAAAAGAGUUAAUCAAUGAGGUAAACUUCAUGGCUGGAUUAUUUUAAGAGCUUGCCACAGGCACCCCCACCUCCAGCCACCACCGCCCUAAUCAGUCAGCAGCAACAUGGACGGACGCAAGUCCCUCGCCAGCAGAAAGAUUGCAACUCGCUCAGAGCUCAGAGGAUGGUUAGCAUUUUUUAGUGGUAUUUUAAAAUUAGGGUGUGUCCAUUGGUUUCUUAGACAUAUCCUAUUGCACGCUCAACAGACCACAGUAGAGUGUCCCUAUAACUUUUCUAUGCGCUGGGAAACCAAAAAAUUCCUCUGAUUCUCUUGACUGCGCUACUUGCUUCAUCGUGGGGUGGUCUGGAACAAAACCCAGGGGACAGGAGCUCAUGGCUCCCCCAGCCUAGAGAAGAGAGGUGUGCCUUAUACUUUCUCCUACAAAGAGGGGAAAGUAGAAGAGGGUGCACUGAGAAAGAUUUAAUAAUUCUGCUUAGAGUCGCCUUCUCCAGGGUAACCGGUUCAUUUGUGGAGGUUAUGCUAGCUUUGGUAGAACUUACAUACAACCCCGGAGAGCGAUGGUCAAACAUUGUCCGGAGUGGGCUUGAACCCAUAACCUGAGUACCAUUCCGGGAGGUGCUGUCUGCCUCUAAGGGCUGUAGAUGUCCUCCACCCAUGACCAUCGCUCCACAUGUGUAGGAAUGGGCCUUGGAGAAGCUUGCAAAUGGUAGCUUUGUCUCACUCUCUCCUCUACCCGAUCACGCUCCCAUGUACUCUCCCGGCCAUAGGCAGCAGGAGAACACUGGUUUUGAACACAAAGGACAUCUGUUACAUGUAAUCAUUGUAUAAAGCUGGCCUACUCCCAUUAUGAAUAAUCAUAAAAUUGGGGGUGAAAGGUACCUCCCCAUUUAAAGCUACGAAAAGGCCGUGAUUCAUUUUCGGUCUCUUUAUUACGAGGCCUCGUCUCAGAUCAUCCGCAGCAAAGUUUUACCCUGGAGCCAGUUUCCUCAGUCAUGUUAAAUUCAUGGGGGGAAAAUCCUCCUAGGAUUUAGAACUGAAAAAUAGACAGCUUUAAUAACAGAAACGCUGAUGUGAAGAGCAGGGAAAGACAGCGUGUUCUAACCUUCUAGGGAAAAAAUGGGGAAGAUGUUGAUAAAAAGCUCUGCUAUAUUUUUAUCUUACCGUUUUCUUCAUCUGAAGGAAUAUUGAGAUGAGGUUUUAAAUUCUGAACGAUUAUCUGACAGCUUCCAUCUCCAGGGCAAAUUAUUAGCAAGAGUUAUAUUUUGCUAUUACCUCUACUCAAAACUCAGAGGACACAUGCUUCUCAGCCCAGAUGAGAAAUAAAAUCUACAGACGAGAGUGCUGUGAACAGGGUGCCAGGUCCCAGUGACUUCUAAGUCCCCUUUUGUGAGCUUUGUGGACAUUGACCUUCUUAUUAAGUAGGGCUGGGGGGGGAUUGGCUGGGCCCCUAGCACCCUCCUGGAUAUGUUCUGCACCCCCCCCCGCCAGUGCCAUCUUUCACCAUUCUGCCCCAACCCAUCCCACCCCAUGCCCUGUAUUCCAGUGACACCAAACUGCCCAGCGGUCCCAAAUAGGCCAGCUUUUUGGUUUAUUUAUUUCUUUUCUUUUAAAAAAGAGAGUGUAUGUGUGGAUGCAUGGGGGGAAUAGCAGUGAGAGAGGGAGAGAGAGAAUCUUAAGCAGACUCCA